rnacentral:tRNA from 1 species
GGCCCGUUGGUCAAGGGGUUAAGACGUCUCUCUUUCACGGAGAAAUCAGGGGUUCGAUUCCCCUACGGGCUA